rnacentral:rRNA from 1 species
ACGGAGGGUGCGAGCGUUGUUCGGAAUUACUGGGCGUAAAGGGCGCGUAGGCGGCAGUGAUAGUCAGGUGUGAAAUCCUUCGGCUUAACCGGAGAACUGCAUCUGAAACUUCACAGCUAGAGUACAGGAGAGGGAAACGGAAUUCCCGGUGUAGAGGUGAAAUUCGUAGAUAUCGGGAGGAACACCAGUGGCGAAGGCGGUUUCCUGGCCUGAUACUGACGCUGAGGCGCGAAAGCGUGGGGAGCAAACAG